rnacentral:rRNA from 1 species
CCCACCUGAACCCAUGCCGAACUCAGUAGUGAAACGUAACAGCGCCGAUGGUAGUGUGGGGCUUCCCCAUGUGAGAGUAGGACAUCGCCAGGC